rnacentral:tRNA from 1 species
GGUUGUGGCUCGGUGGUUAAACGCUUGCCUUGCAUGCAUGAGGCACUGGGUUCAAUCCUCAGCACCA